CUACCAGUAGUUCUCUACUAGGUUUACAAGAACUGAUCCAGCAAUGGAAUACAAAUGCACUAGUGAUCCCAGCCAAGAUACCAGAACCUGACCAAGACAAUGUUUUGCUGCUGUUAUCCAGAAUUAACCUUUGAUUUUGAGGAGUGACUUUAAAGUUUGGCAGAAAAGAAGCAGAGUCAAGGACCAGGAAUUGCUUCAGUAAAGUUGCAAGAUACCAAAUCAACCUACAAAAAUGAAUAGCAUUUCUAUAUCAUAGAAAUGAAACAGCUGAAACAAGAGAGCAAUCCCAUUUACAAUAGCUACAAAAAAAAGGGAUCAAUUUCACCAAGGAGAUAAAAAAUCUCUAUAAGGUAAAAACCAUAAAACACUGAUGAAAGAAGUUGAAAAGGACACAAAUGGAAUGUCAUCCCAUGCUCAUGAAGUGGAAGAAUUAAUAUGAUUAAAAUAAACAUACUUCCCAAAGCAAUCUACAUAUUCAAUUCAGUCUAUACCAAAAUAACAAAUGUCAUUUUUCACAGAAAUAGAAAAAAAAUCCUAAAAUUUGUAUGGAACCAAAAAAGAUCCUGAAUAGUCAAAUUCUGAGCAAACAGGGCAAUGCUGGAGGUAUUACACUAACUGAAUGCAAAAUACAUUUUCAUUGUAAGACUAUAAUA
rnacentral:lncRNA from 1 species